rfam:Monodelphis domestica chromosome 2, whole genome shotgun sequence.
CAAAAGGCUCUUUUCAGAGCCACCCCAAAUCCUCAGAAAGAGCUUA